GUGCUCAAUCAGUGGUUCAGGCUGUGACUCAGCAGUUCCCCUACAGAUGCAUUUACACGUUCUGUUUUCUGAACACUGUCUUGCCUCCAAGAUGCAGAGUGUCCCUCCUUCUGCAAAGACAUUUCCUUGGAAUGGCAGCUGUGGCUGAACUGCCAAACUGACUGACAGCCGGUACCUAGCCUUGAACCAAAAGAACUGCUUCCAGGAAAAGCAUCCUGUUCUGAGAAAUCACAUUCCAAAGCUCAUGAAGAAUUGCGUGUGAGAAUCUCACACUGAGGCUUAUGACAUUUUUUGGCGUUACCGAUGUGUUUUCUGCAGUUCAAGAUGUCCAAAAUCUUCCAUUUUAUGUAUUCAUUCUUUUACUGUAUUUGUGGAGGAAAGGUACAGAAUUUCUUGACCUGUUUUGCCUGACACCGAUAGACUCAACACGUCUUCCGUUAAACUUUAUCCUCACCACUUUUGUAUAGGAUGUUGCAGGAUGUGUGACAAGGACUUUGCCACUCCACUGGAUCAGAGGAAUCAGUCCUAGAGCUAUCUUAGAAUAGUUUGCUUGUCUGCAUUCACCAUCUAUCUUUCAACAAUCAGCAGAAAAGAAAAGAAGCCGAGUAAUGCUGCUGGUUAGAAGUUUUCUUUUCUGCUCAGUGAAAACGAGCACAUAGCCUGAAGCCAGCUGAGAGGUCUGAGAAGAGUGAAUACAGUCUGCAAAAUUGUAGGUUCAAAAAAAAAAAAAAAA